GAGCUCAGAGAGAGGGAGCUUGAGUAUCUCAAGAAGAUUGAAGAGUUGUCAGCAGAGAAUGUGAGCUUGGCUGACAAAGAAACCAAACUGUUGAGCAUUGUUGAAGAAGCUGAUGAGCUCAAAGGGAGGGAGCUUGAUUACCUAAAGAAGAUUGAAGAGUUGUCAGCAGCGAAUAUGAGCUUGGUUGACAAAGAAACCAAACUGUUGAGCAUUGUUCAAGAAGCUGAGGAGCUCAGAGGUAGGGAGCUUGAUUAUCUCAAGAAGAUUGAAGAGUUGUCAGCAACUUUGUCAGCAGCGAAUGCGAGUUUGGUUGACAAAGAAACCAAACUGUUAAGCAUUGUUCAAGAAGCUGAUGAGCUUAAAAGGACAGAGAUUGCUUGUCUGAAGAAGAUUGAAGAGUUGUCAGCAGUAAAUGAAAGUUUGAUUGACAAAGAAACCAAACUAUUGACCAUUGUUCAAGAAGCUGAGGAGCUUAAAAGAUCAGAGAUUGCUCAUCUGAAAAAGAUUGAAGAGUUGUCAGCAUUGAAUGAGAGUUUGACUAACAAAGAAACCAAACUGCAGAGCACCAUUCAAGAAAUCGAGGUGCUCAAAGAAAAGGAGUAUGUAUACAUCAAGAAGAUUGAGGAGUUGUCAUUGCCAAAUGAGAUAUUAGCUGAGAAAGAAGCCAAACUACACUCAGCUGUUAAGGAGAAUGAAGAGUUAAGAGAAAGGGAGUCUUCUUACCAUAAGAAGCUUGAAGAGUUGUCAAAAGUAUCUGACAACGUUGCUGCCAGAGAAAUCAAACUCCACAUUUCCACUCAAGAAAACGAAGAGCUUAGAGAAAGAGAGGCUGCAUACCUCAAGAAGAUCGAAGAGUUAGCUAAGCUGCAAGAGUCUCUUCUUGACAGAGAAACUGAGCUUGAAGGUAAGGUCCUUGAGAUUGAGGACCUUAAAGCCAAAGACUCUCUAUCCCAAAAGAAGAUUGAAGAGUUAUCAAAUCUAAACAAAACCUUGCUCGUGAAAGAGAGCGAGUUACACAACGUCGUUUGCGAAAACGAGGAGCUCAAAUCCAAAGAGGCUUCAUCGCUUAAGACAAUAGAGGAGUUGUCUGAUCUUAAACAAAGCUUGGUUGGUAAAGAAAACGAGCUCAAGACUGCAGUAGUCGAGAACGAAGAGCUCAAGGCCAAUGCUGCAUCACUGGCUCAGAAGAUUGAAGAGUUGACAACCCUUAAACAGAGUUUACUUGAUAAAGAGAACGAGCUGCAGGGCGUUUUCCAUGAGAACGAGGAGCUCAAGGCCAAAGAGGAAGCAUCUUUGAAGAAGAUCGACGAGUUGCUGCAUCUCGAGCAGAGUUGGCUUGAGAAGGAAAACGAAUUUCAAAGACUUCAUCAAGAAAAUGAAGAGCUUAGAGUGCAGGAAGCUUCAAAGGCAAAGAAGAUAGAGGAGUUGUCAAUCCUGCUUGACAAAGAAGCCGAGUUGCAGGCUGUGAUUCAUGAUAACGCUGAGCUGAAGACCAGGGAGGCUUCCGCGGUUAAGAAGAUAGAAGAGUUAUCGGAGUUGCUAGAAAAAGAAGAGAAACCAGAUGAAAACGGCAAGCACAGUACAGGAGAACAAAAGGUACAAGAAACUCCAGUGGAAGCCAUUGAUAACCAUCUGAACGGUGACACACCAGUCCAUUUGUUAGCUCACAAAGAUGAAGGAGAGAAAGAUAAAGACUCAACUGAAGGGGAAGGCUACCAUAUAGAAAAGAGAGAAGCGUCUUCAGAGAGAGAGUCAGAGCACGAGUUUGCUGAAGAGGAAGAGGAAUCAAAAGCAGAAGGCAGUGAGAACUUUGAUCAGUUAAGCAAUGGCUUGUCUUCAGCUGAACAUAUAGAAUAUUCUGGGAGUCUGCACUCAAAGGAACUAGAGCAGAAGAAGAAGAAACCUUUGCUCCGGAAGUUUGGAAAUCUACUGAAGAAGAAGAGUACAAGCAGCAGCAGCAGCAGCCAUAAAUAGAGGGAAGAUGAGACUAUUAUCAUUUCUAUUGCAACUGAACAUUAUUUCUUGGUUGAUUUGUCUUUAAAUCUUUGAAGAGUAUAUCUCCAGAUUCAAUUUAAGGUGCUUGAUCUCUGGUUUAUCUCUCUAAAUUUCAUUAAAUCUUUGAAGAGUAUACUAGGGGCAAGAGUAUCAUAUCAUUUUGCAAAUAGAAAACAUAUUUGAACAGUGAUGCCCUGUAAGUGCUUUCACACAUGAUCUGGUGAGAACAUUUUUAGCUAUGCAAGUUUUGUUAUCUGUUGAGAUUCAUUGUGUUUGUGGCUGGACCGGACAUAGAAGCAUGGUGAAGGCUUGGAGUAUAAAGCUAUCCUCCGGAUAUAUGGGGACCAAAACCUUCUCAUAUGUUUAUUUCUGUCGUAUUGUCAAUACACAUGUACUGUGUUGUGCCCGCCUCGGGUAAAUUCAAUGAGAGUUCGAUCUUCUUCUUUUUUUUGGUCAACGAGAGUUUGAUUAUGAUGUUCUUAUUAUGUAAUGGAUCACACUAACAAAUUGAAUAUAUCUCCAACUCGUGAAUACUUGGCUAAACACAGAGAUUAAGAAAUGUAAAACGUAUUUUUUAACUGCUAGAUAUAAGGAUUAAACCAGUUAUACUCUAUAUGACUGGUGUGAGUAUACCCCAACACAGGUACAGUUUCUCACCAGCUACAACUUUGCUUUCUCCUUGCAUCUCCAUGGUUUCUACAUAAGUUGAUAUACGUCAUACCAUUCUCAUCCUGAUGACUGGUUUUGGCCUUCAACAGUUCCAUCAUCACCCACAGCUACAUCCUCUUCACUUCCUUCACUAUUCUCUCCACUCUUCCGCUUGCUAGCAUCUCCACUCUCCUCGUUUGCUACAUCUACUGCUCGUUUCAACCCAUCUUUGGAUGUGUCAGCCGCAUGACUCAUCGUCACAUUCGGCGCCUUGCCAUCUGUAGUUGUCCCCAUUCCCUCUCCCUUUGACUUCUCUCCUAAGUCAUUUCCCUGCAAAAGUUUUGGAAGAGCCAAGUGAUAUCACCAUAUGAAUACUUCAUUAAUCUUCUUAUACGCAUAAAUCUCUUAGAAGCAAAAAGAACCUUACGUUGGAUGAGAAGUAUCUAAGGCUAGUGAUUGUAAUGAGUCCUCUAUUAGCAAAAGAUGGAGCACUCCUGUGUAGAGAAGUAGCUAUGUGUAUGUUUAUGGUUACUCUUUUUGCUAAAAACAUAGCCGCCAUUGAGAUCAAAAUAUGAUUCUUUCUCUCCCUCUCUAAUAUAUAUAUGAGCCUGAUGAUGGCGUUAGUGUUAGUGUCGAGAGAGAAACAGGUGGCUCAUCACUACACUUCUCACGUGUCCUCAAGCAAAGACUAGUUCUUGUCCGAACUAUGAUCAGCGUGUCAGUUUGUUAAGAAAAGUGAUUACUCUCCAAAGGUGUAACAAGAAAGCUUGAGUUGAUGUAGUAAUCUCAUCUUUUGGUAUUUGCCAGCACAGUAAAAAGACAAAAGAAAUAUAUCAAAAAUCGAGAAGAACACUAUCUCACAGCUAUAAGAUGUAACAAAAAGAGUUUUCUUACUUCAAAGUUAAAAGCCUCAACAACAGAAGAGAAAACAACAAGGAAAGUGAAAUGUAAAAAAGUAUUUUAAAAGGGAAGAGUCUCUACUCAGUAUGUAAAUGAGACAUAAGUUUUAAAGAGUCUCAUCCUCAAAAGAAAGCUUUAAAAAGAUCCCAAACUACAGCAACUCAGAUUCCCUUGAUCUUAGAGAACGUAGUAGUAACCCAAGACAAGAAGCAUUAGUACCACAACAGCAGCAGCAGCUGGAGCAGCCCAAACCAUGUAGUUAGUCUGCUUCUUACGCUUGAGCAUUGGUCUCGGGAGUGUUUCUGGUCCCCCUCUAUUGCGGAUCCUGUUCCUUAUUGGUUUCUCCUUCAACACUUUCUUUUCCUUCUUUGGUUUCUCCUCCACUGGAGCUUCAAUCUCCUCCUUCUCAGCCUCUUUCUUCACUCCAUCCAAACCAGCACCCAUUAACUGCAAUUAAGAAGGCAUUCACAUAUGAAACUAAACAAAGAAGCCAAGAGUACACUCUCCAAAACCAUGACUUCUCUUCUCUUAUUACCUUAACUUGACCUUGGAUAUCAUCUUUAUGACCCAUAGCUUCUUUGUUCUUAGAUCUCAUAGCCUCAUUAGCAAUGACUUUGUCUCUAGUCCCUUCAAGCAGCCUGAUCUCUUUAAGAAGCUGCUUGUCCUCGGUCAACGGAAUGCUUUCAUGUUGAAUCCUGUACUCGUAGCUGUAUAUCUACAACCCACCAACCAAAUGAGAACUAAAACCACUAUAGAAAUAAGAUCACUUCAAGUGAGAACAAGUAUUAGAUUCUUACCAUACUGUUGAGCUCUUAGCUUCCCCAGUGCUUGCUGUAAGUUCACAAGGUUUUUACGUUAAUUUUGCAUUUUGAUUCAAGUUUGGGUAUAAUUUUGUAUUUAAAAUCAAGUUUUGAGUCAUAUUUGGCAAAUCCUCCUAUAAUGAGUUUCUUAUAAUACAGUUGAUUAUGAUUAUAUUAUAGAUAAAAAUAGAAUUUAAUUUUUAAUUUUUAUUUUAUAAACGAUAAGUGAAUAUAUUAAUGUAUAAUAGUAUUUCAAAAUUAAUUACGAAAUUAGUGAAAAUAUUUACAUAUAAUUUUUUGAAAAUUAAGAUCUUGUUAAAAUCUUUUCAAACAGAUUUGUUAGAUUUUUUAAAUAUAUAUAGAUAUAUACAUUUAUAAUUAAAAUAAAAAUAUAUCAAAAAAUAUUAUGAUUAAAGUAGUUCAAAGAUUCUAUGUGUUAUUAAUUUUAAUAAAGCACAUUUAAUAAAAUUUCUAAAGGAUGGUCCAUAUUAAAAAAUUACACAUGAAAGAAGUCAUGACUUCUAAUUUAAUAGAAUAAAUAUAUUAAAUUAAAAUAUCAACCCCCAGAAUAAGACGUCCGACUAGUCGUCGAAUCAAUAAGCAGUGAAUCUCACAAAUAGAUUAGGAUUAUCACUAUUACACAUGGAGAGAAAAACAUAAACAGAGCGAGAUGGAAAAAAACUAAGGUUCAGGGACCCGUUACCAGUUCCCAUCAUCACCAAAAGUCCGCAGCCAACGACGCCGACCAAACCGAAAUUUCACCGAUCACUGCAAAUAUACUUUAUUUCAAAUCCACGCUGACACACAGCUGUUCGAUCUACACAACACUAUCUUUCUCUUACCGACUAUCAAGAAAUAGAAAUCGAAACAGACCAACUAGUUAAGGGGAACCGCCAUCCAACAAGUCUGACUCUCUUGCCAGACUCUACUUUAUUUUAUAUAUUUCCAACACACCAUAACAACAGCUACAAUUCGAUUACAAGGAAAAAAGAAAUCUCAUCUAAGAUUAGGCGAUAAACGUAAACGAACAAAACUUUAACGAAACAAUUUGACGUGUGAUCUAAGUUCCAAAUUAGUAUAUGAUAUAUGACUUUUAAUUCCAUUUGUUACUCACUUCAUUGUGUGCUCUCAUAAUUGAUUUUUAAAAUAAGUGAGCGAGAACGUGCAUUUAGUAGAAAAUUUAAAUUAAUUUAACGAAAAAGUUGAAAUAAAACUGAAAUUAUUGAUUUUUGGGUCAAAGUUAUACUAAGAUAAAUUGUUAGAAAAUCAAACUCAAACUAGUUUAAUUGGUUUCAGUCCCAUAACUUUAAUUCGCAAACAAAAUAAUAUCAACACAAGAUUACAUAACAUAACAAAAAAGCACUCCAGCCUAACUGCGUCUAAAUGAUACUAUGCAUAAAAUACCAACAUUUCACACUAAUAAAUGAUUUCAUUUUGCUGACAAAAAUAAAAUGAUUUCAUUUGAGAAUCAUAAGAGUUGUACGAUUGAAUUAUUGUUAUUUAUAUAUACAAAUAAAAUAAAUGAUUGAAAGGCACAUGCAGCCCACAUGAUGACUCCAAAUCAACACAAUAAUAACACAAGGUUCUCUCCAUAGAUUGACACAUCAGAUUUUUAGAUAAUUAUAAGAGUAACAUGUUAAUAAAUGAAAAAAAUUAGAAAAACCAAUCAAAAUAUUUUAAAUUUACAUAUCAUAUUACACGUCAUUUUCAAUAAUUUGUUGUUUCGUCUACUGCGUCUGAAUUUAACUCUCCAACAAUUUCUGUUCUUGAAGUCAUUUGUGACUCAGCAGCCAUGAAUAUGACUUAUCGAGUUCUAUCUUUACUACUUGGUCAUUAGUGGUCUCAUCAUCAACUACGAGAAGGAAAACACAUCCAUGUUUCGUAAGCUUGAUUUUUGAAUCAAAGUUGAGAAGUUACUUAAGGUUGGGUGUUGUUGUUCAGUUGUUUAUCUACUGAUUCUCGAGAUUUCAUGGAUUAUUGUUCUAGCUUUGGUUCUACACAGUUGGCAUAAAGAAAAAAUAAUGAAUUGUUUUUGCAGUCAACAAAUGUAUUUUCUAGCUUGGUUCUACACAUAUGGCAUAAACAAAAAAAGGAGUUAUUUUUGCAGUUAACAGGUGUAUCACGGCACAUUGCUGGUAGAACUUUUCCUAGACAGAGAAUGUAUCACGUCACAUAUUGUUUUUAAGGAAAAAAAAUUGGUCGUAAUAACAUUAAUUAUAGUUAGAUACAUGAUACAUCACACAUGUUCUUCUUUUCUCCCCUUUUUGUGUCUUAGUCAAGCUUUAAACCGAUUAAACAAUGUAAAAUGCAUAUGCUGGGAUUAUUGUGUCUUGGUUUAAAAUUAAAAGUUGAGAGGGGAUAAUAUAUCCAAACUUACUUUGCAUUCAAUGUCAGUCCACGAUAAAUAAAUUACUUAAUGGUUUAAAUGAAACUAUCAACAAUUUUUCAAACUAUGGUUACCUUACAAAGGUAUAAGGGCAACCACAACCGUGUACCCCAUAAAAAUCUUUAAAAAAAGUGUUUUCUAUUUCUUUUAAUUUUUUUUUUCAGGAUUUAGAAAAAAAAAACUAAUCAAUUGCGAACUAUCACGUAUCAGUAGGACCCGCGAAUAGUUAACAGACUCCACGAAACUCUUACGGAAGAAAUUUAACAGCUUAAAUCUGCACAAAAAUUUAAAAAGCGUGGACUUCAUAUGUUUUUAUAAUAUUUUUUUUUAAAGAUUCCAGCUACGUACCGCCGUUGCAUGUGCUGUAAGGAUUAGAAAAGAGAGGUGGCAGACCUAGAGCAAGAGGGGGGGGGGAGGUGUGGCAUUUGUUAUUUUUCCACUAAUAACAAGUUUUUUUUUUUAGAACACAAGUUUUGAGUUUAUAUAAAUACAUAUAAAUUCAGCAUUUAGUUUUGACAAAAUGGUGUAACCCCCAGCCAAAUAUAAUAAUGGAUCCGAAGGAACAAAUAUUUCCCUUUGGUUUUACAAAACUUGGAAAAUGGUAGUAAACAAAAAAAAAAUUGAUGUUACAAAAAAUAAGUAGCGAGCAAAAGAGUAGAAUAAAUAUAAAACAUACAUCAAUACUAUAAUAAGUCGGGAGUAUAUCAGUUCUUUUUUUUUUUUUUUUGUCAUCAACUUUACAGACUCAUAUAGACUCUGUGAACCAAACUGGGAGAUCUUGAUCCAUGUGAACUACAAAAGAUGUUUCCUUCCUAGCGCUACGGGCUAAGCUAUCCGCUUUCUUGUUCUGCGUUCUUGGUACAUAGAUAAUCUCUGCUCGGAAAAAACUCUCUUUCAAGCUGUUUAUAUCCUCCAAAUAACUUGCAAAUGCUGGCCAUUCCUCUGGUGUUGAAACCAUCUUCACCAAUUGAGAACAAUCCGUUGCAAACGUAACCUGAAAUUGUCGUAAGUUUUUCAUACAUUCCAUUGCCCAUAACAGUAUAUCAGUUCUUUAUAAUAAAUAUAAAACAUAAUAUAAUAUAUAUGAGAUAAAUUUAAAAGUAAAGUGGUAUUUUCAAUUUGAAACAUGAAAGAGAAAUAUACAUAAAAGCUAAGACCAUAUGCAAAAUAAUUAAAAAUGUAUUUUGAUGUCAUGUAAGCAUAUAAACUAUAUAUUUAAGCUUUGAUGUUAUCCCUUUUAAAUAGUUAUUUUAAUAUUUAAUACCAGAUUGAUUAUAUUUAUAUCUUAUUUAAAUAUAUAUUUUAUCUAUUUUUCUUUUAUCAAAGAUAUAAUAUAUAUUUUUAAGCAAUUGAAAGAUCCAAAACAUCCGGGGGCGGAGCCCGGGUUAUCUAUACUAUUAUUUGCGAAGUAAAUUUUUGGAAUCGAGCUCUCACGUUAAAAGUUAUAGUGGUUAAUAACGUUUAUACCCUUAAUGAAUAAAAUGUAUAACUAAUUUAAAAAAUAAAAACGAAAUUUUAAUUUAUUUGAUUAGAUAAUUGAUUAAAAUUAAUAAUAGUAAGAUUAUCCAAAAUAUGAAAAUAUAAUUUAAAAAAGAGUUAAUUUAUGUAUAUAUUGUAUUGUUAUCUGAAAAAAUCUUUUAGUAAAAAGUUAAAAACAUGAAUUAUAUAACUAAAUAUUAAUCAAAUAAAAUGUAAAACUAAAUUAAAAAAUAAAAAAAGAAAUGUUAAUUUAUUUUAUUAGAUAAUUGAUUAAAAUUAAUAAUAGUAAGAAUUAUCCAAAAUCUGAAAAAUAUAAUUUAAAAAAUAGAUAAUUUCUGUAUAUAUUGUAUUGUUAUCUGAAAAAGUCUUUUAAUAAAAAGUUCAAAACAUGAAUUAUAUAACUAAAUAUUACUCAAAUAAAAUUUAUAACUAAAUUAAAAAAAUAAAAACGAAAUUUUAAUUUAUUUGAUUAGAUAAUUGAUUAAAAUUAAUAAUAAUAAUAAUAAUUAUCCAAAAUCUGAAAAUAUAAUUUAGAAAAGAUAUAAUUUUUGUAUAUAUUGUAUUGUUAUCUGAAAAAGUCUUUUAGUAAAAAGUUAAAAAUAUAAAUUAUAUAAUUAAAUAUUAAUCAAAUAAAAUUCCCGAUUAUAUAAUUAAAAAUAUAAUAUUGAAUUAUCCAAAAUCUAAAAAUAUAAUUAAAAAAAAGAAGAUAAUUUCUAUAUAUAUAUAUAUUGUAUUGUUAUCUGAAAAAGUAUUUUAGUAAAAAAUUAAAAACAUAAAUUACGUAAUUAAAUAUUAAUCAAAUAAGUUUUUUUAAUUAUAUAAUUAAAAAUAUAAUAUUAAGUUAUUCUAAGAUUUACUUUAGUAUAAUGAAUAUAUUGUACAAAAAAGUUUUUAAAAAUUAUGAAAAUGUUUAAGCCUGCAUCGCGGGCAAAACACCUAGUUUUCUAGUAGAUCUUAAACUUGUAAAAUCAGAUCGCUGGAGAUAUGAGAUUUUUCUGCUUUACCCACAUUAUGAGCAAAGUCCAUUCACAUUUGUUAGGUCCACACAGCACACCGCUUUAUUUCAUUAAUACACAUGCAAGACUUUACACCAUGGUCCUUUCUGUCAUUUCAUAUUGUUUUGUUUUUAAUUGAAAAAACGAAACCGGGAAAAUGAAAGAAAAAGACGAGAGAGAGAGAGGAAGAGGAAGAGGGUAACCACCACUCUGCCCCAUUACCAAUAAUUUUGCUCCAAAAAAAAAGUUGAAGACUUUGUGGAGAAGCAAUCAGACCCAGUGAAGACGAAACCUUAGUCGAUCUGGUGUUUCUGUUUAGUCUCUCCCACUUGCAAUGCCGGAGAUCUAACUGCCCCCAAACAUUUCUCACCAACAACAACAACAACAAUGGCGUCCAGAACCAAGUGGGGGAACUUUCCUUCUCUUUUUAUUUUUUAAUUUUCAUUACAGAACCAAACUAGUUUUAACUUGGGAAAGGCAAUUGGAUCUGAGAUGCUGUCUUCUGUUUCCUUUGUCGGAAAUGUAGUUGUUGUGUCUGUUAGAUUCUCUUAUGUGGGUCACUUACUCUCUCUGGACAUCUUUGUUUUUUUUCUUCUGAAAUCAUUUACUGAUAUUUUCUUUCACUUUGUCAGAUCAUUCCAUGUACUUAGGAAAAAUGUGUGUUUGGAUUCAUUUUAAGAUGCUUUUUAAUUUGAUUAUUGAUAAACUAGAUCUCUAAAUUUGAGAUGGAUCAUUAAUCAUAGCAAUACAAACCAUCAAGUUGGAAACUUGUUUUAACUUACUUAAGUUAUGGAUUUAGAUCCAUAGAGAUGUUUGUUUCAUUAUUUGUUCAUUGAUGGUAAUUGUCACAUUGUACAUAAUACCUUUAUGAUCUUGUAGAACCGGUUUAAUGGAGACUCCUCGUAGUAAACCAUCUCCUCCACCACCAAGGCUGACUAAAUCAUCAGUGACUAAAUCCGAUGGCAGCUCGCCGUCUUCUGUGCACAGCACACGUCUCUCACUAGACCGUUCCCCACAAUCCGUUAACUCCAAGCCUUCUCCUGAUCGUCGUACUGCAAGAGUCCCUACUCCACCUGAGGCAAGUCAAAACAAACUCCAUCCGUUUGACAUUAUAAAGACUAGUGUUAUAGAGACUGAUCAUAAUUUUUUUUAAUGGCGUUUCAGAAGUCGCAAUCACGGUUAGGGAAAGGAUCUGAGCUACAAGCUCAACUGAAACAGAUUCAGGAGGAUUUGAGGAAAGCUAACGAGCAAAUAGCAGUGCUCAAGAAAGACAAAGCUAAAGCUCUAGAUGAUCUCAAAGGCUUUGAGAAGCUAAACAAAGAAGUCAAUGAGAAACUCAAAGAAGCACUGGCAGCAGCUCAGGAGAGUUCUGAGAUUGAAGCGGUUCAUAACGAGAAGGAUAUCUCUUGGAAGAAAGAGGUUGAGUCUGUAAGAAGCCAGCAUGCUUUAGACAUCUCAGCUCUUCUCUCCACCACCGAAGAGCUUCACAGGGUUCAACAAGAGUUGGCUAUGACUGCUGACGCUAAAAACAAGGCGCUGAGUCACGCAGAGGAAGCGACCAAGAUCGCUGAGAUGCAGGCGAAGAAGGUGGAGGUUCUUUCUUCUGAGUUAAGUCAGUUAAAGGCAUUGGUUAGUUCUGAGGAACAGAAGAAGGCUACUGAAGGAGAUGAGGUUGUGUCUAAACUGAGAUCCGAAAUUGAGAUGCUGAGAGGGGAGCAUGAGAAUGUUAGCGUCUUAGAGAAUGAGCUGAAGGAUCAAGAAGAGUGCAUUGAGCAGCUACACGUUGACCUCGAAGCUGCUAAAAUCGUUGAAUCAUGUGCUAAUAGCUUAGCAGCUGAGUUGAAGAAUGAACUUGAAAAACAAGUUGAAGAGUCAAAUAAGUUGAAGACGUCUGCUUCCGAGUCCUUAGAUUUAGCUAUGAAGCAGCUGGGAGAAAACAGUCAUGCGCUUCAUGAGGCAGAGUUGGACAAUGCUGCGUUGAAAGAAAAGAUUGAGUCCAUGGUGAUGACGAUUGCAAGUCAGGAAACAGAUCUUCAGGAAUCUCAACGUCAGGUUUGUACUUUACAAGAAGAAACUUCUAAGCUUGAAAAGCUUGUUGAGUCAGUCAAAUCUGACCUUGCAACCGCACAAGCAGAAGCUUUGGACUAUGAAAAGACUACAACAUCACGUAUUCAGAACCUAUUGAAUGAAAAGACGGGGCUUGCUACAGAGUUGGAGAGCUGUAAGAAGGAAGAAGAGGAAACCAAGAAAGCUAUGGAAAGCUUAACUCUGGAGUUGCAGGAUGUAUCUGUGGAAGCAAGGGAAGCUAAGGAGAGGCUCUUGACAUGUCAAGCAGAGCUUGAACAUUGUGGAACACAGAUUGAGAGUUUGAAGUUGGCUGCGAAAGAGACAAAUGUGAAGUAUGAAAGUAUGCUUGAAGAUGCAAGAAACGAAAUCGAAAGCCUGAAAAAUAGUUUAGGAAAGAGUCAAGAUGAGAUUGUUAGUUCGAAGACUGAGUGGGAGCUGCGAGAACUUCAUUUGAUGGCUUGUGUGAAGAAAUCGGAAGAUGAAGCGUUCUCUGUGCAGGGAGAGCUUAGCAAGGUGGAGGAUUUGCUUAAUCUCAAGGAAAAUGAGGUGAAGGCAGCAAAAGAAGAAGAAGCCAAUACGAAAAGGAAACUUGAGGAACUUGAGGAGGAGCUUAAGGAUAUGCAGGAAAGAGUUGGAGAAGCGAAAGCUGAAAGUGUGAAAGUUAAAGAAAGUUUGUUGGAGAAAGAAAACGAACUAGAGAAUGCUGCUGCAGACAACAAAAAGCUCGGAGAUGAAUUGUCAAAGAUAAAUGAAAGCUUGGUGGAUAAAGAGACAAUACUGCAGAGCAUUAUUCAAGAAGCGGAGGAGCUCAGAGGGAGGGAACUUGAUUAUCUCAAGAAGAUUGAGGAGUUGUCAGCUGCAAAUUUAAGUUUGGUUGACAAAGAAACCAAACUGUUGAGCAGUGUCCAAGAAGCUGAGGAGCUCAGAGGGAGGGAGCUUGAGUAUCUCAAGAAGAUUGAAGAGUUGUCAGCAGAGAAUGUGAGCUUGGCUGACAGAGAAACCAAACUGUUGAGCAUUGUUGAAGAAGCUGAUGAGCUCAAAGGGAGGGAGCUUGAUUACCUCAAGAAGAUUGAAGAGUUGUCAGCAGCGAAUGUGAGCUUGGUUGACAAAGAAACCAAACUGUUGAGCAUUGUUCAAGAAGCUGAGGAGCUCAGAGGUAGGGAGCUUGAUUAUCUCAAGAAGAUUGAAGAGUUGUCAGCAACUUUG
rnacentral:lncRNA from 1 species